rnacentral:rRNA from 1 species
UGGGGAAUAUUGCACAAUGGGCGCAAGCCUGAUGCAGCAACGCCGCGUGAACGAUGAAGGUCUUCGGAUCGUAAAGUUCUGUUGCAGGGGAAGAUAAUGACGGUACCCUGUGAGGAAGCCCCGGCUAACUACGUGCCAGCAGCCGCGGUAAUACGUAGGGGGCUAGCGUUAUCCGGAUUUACUGGGCGUAAAGGGUGCGUAGGUGGUCUUUCAAGUCGGUGGUUAAAGGCUACGGCUCAACCGUAGUUAGCCUCCGAAACUGGAAGACUUGAGUGCAGGAGAGGAAAGUGGAAUUCCCAGUGUAGCGGUGAAAUGCGUAGAUAUUGGGAGGAACACCAGUAGCGAAGGCGGCUUUCUUGACUGAAACUGACACUGAGGCACGAAAGCGUGGGUAGCAAACAGG